AUGGAGAAGCCCAGCAGUGUGGGUGCCCAGCCACGCGUCAUCCCACGCAUGCCUUCCUGGAGAGACACCAGGCUGAAGCCAGAUACCAGCCCCGGGUAUUUGGUCGGCGCCACCUGCAGGCGGCAUUUGAUCAGGUCCAGCGGCAGGACCAUAGUAUGUGAGAGACCGGUGCUCAUCCCACCGCUCAAGCCGCACAGUGCCAGACCAUACAGCUCAGAGCUGCUGGCCUCAAGAUGUGCUUCCUGGAAAACUGUCCUCUCUUUGCCUUCUCUCCCAUCACUUUACUAUUGAAAGUUAAGGGUGGUAGAGGCCACGUGCCCAGCUCCCGCCCCUACUCCUUCUUCAGCCAAUCAAGAUCUUAAAGGCACUCUUUGCCUCUAACAGACUUUUCUUAACAGAAUCAAUGGCGGUAGAGCGCGACAGUCUGACCCCGCCCUCUUAGCACCACUCAGCCAAUCACCAUGCUCAUCAUGUUUACCCAACUCACUUCAACAAGCAUGUCCUCGCCUUUGCCAUGAGGAACCAAUGGGAAUCCUGAGCUGCAGUUCCAGCUCCUGAAGCACCGCCUCAUCCGGUCACCAUGAUCAAUACGCAUUUUUUAAAAAAUGUUUUCCCUCUUACAGCCUCGUGACCAAUGUAUAACUGCGCUUAGUCUCGGGCUCUCUGAGGUCCCGCCCCUAACCUUCUAAACCAAUCAAGAAGCUCGGGUCAUGUUGCAAAGUCCGCUCUCAGGCCCCUUCUCAUUCUCUCUGCACCCUCCCACUUUGCAUAGGUAGCCAAUGGCCAUGGCUCCCGCUCUAGCUCAGCCAAUCCCUAAAUUCCCUCGGUGCUUCCUCCUCUGUCUCAGCCCCUUACCGCCCUCGGCGGCCAAUGGACGCACCUUUUUUGAGUCCUCCCGCUCCGCUCCAUAGUUCCACUCUCCCUGGACGGGGGAGAAGGGGCGGGUCUAUUAUGUCAGUGUAGGUGGGAAGGCGAACUUGCCAGAGUAGGUGAGUAGUAGAUGAGUAAGCACACUGCGGACAGGUCAGCCACUCUCAGACUGUCCAGCUCCGCCCAGUGUUUCGACCUCUGCUCACGCGUGCCCUGUUACCAUGGCAACUGGGCAUAACCCCCCCCCCCCCAGCACAUCCUUAGACUGGCCACAACUCCAUCUAUGCUCAGUACCCCCACUUUGUGUCCCAGGCCCAGAGUCAACCCUUAGGGAGACACGGCCAGUUCACAGAUGGAUAAACUGAGGUUCGGAAAGCUAGUCGGGCCAUAAGCACGGUUGAGGUGCUUACUGUGUACUGGGCCCUGGGUUAAGCUCUCCGGAAAGGAAGAAAGGCGGAAGCCUGGCUCUUAAUCUAAAAAAGCAUGGAAUGAAAAUAUACACAGGCCAAAAGGGAGGUGAUCAACACGGAAGGGACCAAGCCUGGACUGUGUGCCCUCAAUCCUGUGUGACUUUGGGCAAGGAUCCUUCCAGGUUCUUGUGAAGGACCGAGGAGGCCCUCCUUGGAGAGCACUCUGGAAAUUCGACUUGAGGACCAGGAAAGGAAGAUGAAGAAGGGUGAGAUGGGGACCUCGGCCCUCAAAAGGAAAUCUAAAUGUGGGGAAAAGUCAGUCUGGAUUUUCGAAAGGUCCCUCUUCCCAGGAUGGCUACUCCGGAAAGACCCUGGACCUGGGAGCCCAGAAGACCUGAGGCUUCCUAGCUCUUUGACCUGGAGCAAGACACUCAAUGGCACUGGGCCUCAGUUUACUCAUCUGUAAAAGGAGAGCCAGUGACUCCACUGUGCUGAUCCCCAUUACCCUUGCUGGCAGCCAAGCAGGGUUGUUGGGGCUGCCACCCUCCUUGACCCCCAACUAGAGGGCACAUGUGACCCUCAGCUCCUUGUUGGACACAGCCCUCCCAGCUAGAGCCACUGGUCACUCUUGCCCUUUAGCAAAGAGCCAGAGCAUGGGGGCCCUCCUAGGUCACCUGCCCAGCUCUGAGCAUCAAAGGAAACCUGGUGCAUAAACCUUAUCAAGCAAGGCAAAGCUUCAGUCAGUUAUUCCUGAAACUGUCCUCUCAGAGGUCGCCCAUCACUUCCUUACAUCCACAGCCACUGGCCUCCAUCAUCCUUGGAUACCCGCCAGGAGAGGAGUUCUAUCUGAGCCCUGUGCUGGGUUCUCAAGGCCCUCCUGAGGCCUUUCGAAAUUCCAGACUGACUUUUCCCCACGUUUAGAUGUCCUUUUGAGGGCCGAGGUCCAUAUCUCACCCUUCUUCAUCUUCCUUUCCUGGUCCUCAAGUCGAAUGUACAUCUGGCCAUUUAUCCCUGAUGUAGCUGGGCUGUAUGGAGUUAUUUGCAUAUGGUCUCUCCUCUUGAACCCAGAACUCCUCCAGGGCAAAGACUGCAUUUUUUUUACUGGGUACACAGUAAAUGUUGACUGACUGACAGACCCAAGUGACUAGGACCUUAGAAAAUAGGGUACAUUGGUCCUUUUCCCUCUAUUCAUAGUUUUUAGCAUGGUGCCUGGUUAAUAUAUGUUUGUUGAUUGACCAUUCUUUUCUGUCCCAGAGAGCAAAACCAGGAAUAGGAGAUAGAAGCUUCUGGAUUGAUUUAAGGGGAAACUUUCCACAAAUGAAUCACCAUCACACAUUACUACAGCUGUUUUAAGGUUUGCUAAGCUCUUUGUACCUAAUAAUUCCCUCAAAGAGGAAGAAAAGGCCAAUUUUGUUAAGACAAGAAAACUGAGAGUGAGGGAAGCUGUUACUUGCCUGAGUUUACACAGGCAGUAAAGAACCAAGGUCCCUUGGGCUCCUGACUAACUGCAGUCCCCUAUCCAAUAUAUUUGAUGCUCCUCUCUGAGCCUAUUUUGUUAAAGCUAGCUAAAAACUGAAUGGACUGACUGACCUCUCUGUUUGUAUACCCAGCAAGGAGCGCAUUGCCCGCAGUAAGUGCUUAAUCUUGCACUUUUGUUCCAUUCAUUCACUCCCCAUCACUGGGGUAGAUCAGUUGAAGGCUGGAUGACUGCUUGAGUUUAUAAAGAGAAUUUUUGGUUAGGUACAGGUUGAACUAGACAGCCUCAGAACACCUGUCCAAUCUCGAGAGUCUCUCUUUUGUGAAAGAACCCAGCCUGAGGAGCUGAGACUCAACCUUAGGCAGCUGUGAAUUGCAUCCCCUUCCUUUCUCUAGAUCUAUACUUCCCUAUCUUCAAAUACAGGGACCGAACAAGAACAUUUCUAAGACUUUUACAACCCUAAGCUAACAAGAAAUAAAUAAAGCAAUAAUAAAAACA
ensembl:lncRNA